UACGUAGGCAGCAAGCGUUGUUCGGAGUUACUGGGCGUAAAGGGUGCGUAGGCGGUUGUUUAAGUUUGGUGUGAAAUCUCCCGGCUCAACUGGGAGGGUGCGCCGAAUACUGAAUGACUUGGAGUGCGGGAGAGGAAAGUGGAAUUCCUGGUGUAGCGGUGAAAUGCGUAGAUAUCAGGAGGAACACCGGUGGUGUAGACGGCUUCUGGACCGUAACUGACGCUGAGACACGAAAGCGUGGGUAGCAAACAGG
rnacentral:rRNA from 1 species